CCCGUGGGGCUCUGGGCGGCUGUGACCCUGCUGGAGUGCGGAGGGGACCUCCAGCCCCCCGGGGGGUACCUGUGCCUCUUCUGCCGAGCGUCCGGGUUCAGUUUCGGGAUUGUUGACAUGUUCUGGAUCCGCCAGAGACCCGGGCAGGGGUUGCAAUAUGUCGCAAGGAUCUACGACACUGGAGGUUACACCGACUACGCACCGUCGGUGAAGGGGCGUUUCAGGAUCUCCAGGGACAACGGGCAGAGCUCGGUGACUCUGACCAUGAACAACCUCAAGGACGAGGAUUCCGCCACCUAUUUUUGUGCCAAAUUUUACAGGUCCGGGUUCAGUUUUGGCAGUUCCACCAUGUACUGGAUCCAUCAGAGACCACGACAGGCGCUGGAGUUGCUGGCGGGGAUCACCAGUGGUGGCACCACCGCCUACACGUCGUCUGUCAAGGGCCGGAUCACGAUCUCCAGGGACAACGGCCAAAGGCGCCCCAACGAGUGA